AUUGAACGCUGGCGGCAGGCCUAACACAUGCAAGUCGAACGAGUGGCGGACGGGUGAGUAAUGUCUGGGAAACUUCCUGAUGGAGGGGGAUAACUACUGGAAACGGUAGCUAAUACCGCAUACCAUCGGAUUUGCCCAGAUGGGAUUAGCUAGUAGGUGGGGUAAAGGCUCACCUAGGCGCCGAUCCCUAGCUGGUCUGAGAGGAUGACCAGACAAACGGGAACGGGGACACGGUCCAGACUCCAACGGGAGGCAGCAGGGGGGAAUAUUGCACAAGGGGCGAAAGCCGGAGGCAGCAAGGCCGCGUGUAGGAAGAAGGCCUUGGGGUUGUAAAGUACUUUCAGCGGGGAGGCGUUACCCGCAGAAGAAGCACCGGCUAACUACGUGCCAGCAGCCGCGGUAAUAC
rnacentral:rRNA from 1 species